rnacentral:rRNA from 1 species
CCUACGGGGGGUGCAGUGGGGAAUAUUGGACAAUGGGGGGAACCCUGAUCCAGCCAUGCCGCGUGUGUGAAGAAGGCCCUCGGGUUGUAAAGCACUUUCAGUGAGGAAGAACGCCUGGUGGUUAAUACCCAUCAGGAAAGACAUCACUCACAGAAGAAGCACCGGCUAACUCCGUGCCAGCAGCCGCGGUAAUACGGAGGGUGCGAGCGUUAAUCGGAAUUACUGGGCGUAAAGCGCGCGUAGGUGGCUUGAUAAGCCGGUUGUGAAAGCCCCGGGCUCAACCUGGGAACGGCAUCCGGAACUGUCAAGCUAGAGUGCAGGAGAGGAAGGUAGAAUUCCCGGUGUAGCGGUGAAAUGCGUAGAGAUCGGGAGGAAUACCAGUGGCGAAGGCGGCCUUCUGGACUGACACUGACACUGAGGUGCGAAAGCGUGGGUAGCAAACAGGAUUAGAUACCCCGGUAGUC